rnacentral:lncRNA from 1 species
AUAUUCUUCCCAAUAAAAAUCCCCCCAAAAAUAUGCAAAAGAACAUAUGUUCAAACGAAUAGCGGUUUAGUAUAACCAACAGGAAACCAUUGAUGUGUGCAGCAAUUUUGGUAACACAUCAAGGCCAGAAUGAAGUUAUUGAAGAAUAUUUUUCCAAACUUAGUGUUGUAAUAUAGGAUAACCAACAGGAGACCAUUGAUGUGUGAAAUUAUAUUGGUGACACUGCAGCGUAAAAGAGUGCAAUAUUUUUGAAGGCGUAGUAUCCAUACUGAAAAAACGCUUGCCCACCUUUUUUGCCCUUGCCCUACUUUUUUGCAGGAUUUCUAAUGGUUCAGCUGGUCAUAGGCUUCUAUUAUAAUCUGAUUUCAGCAGCUACCAGCUAGUUUGACCAGUUUCAGAUAUGUUUUCGUAUGAUUUCUGAUGGUUAACCCCAGCUGAAAUCAUCUAUACCAUCUACCUACCAUAUGCUGGUUUUCAACUGAUUUGUGUAGCAGCGAUCUCUCUCCAGUAGGGGCUACGGCUGCGCGAGCAACGGUGUUGCACUUUGAAGACAGUCCCUGGCUCUGUGCACAGUCACAGUGCACUAGUCUCAAAGCCGGGGGCACAUGUGUCCAGUUCGGAAGAGAGUUCGUUUUGAUACAAACUAGUUUGUAGCUCGUUGUCCACUUUACUACGGUUGGAAAGAGGCGUAGUUCGUGUUUAAACAACGUUUCGCUUCUGACUUCUUGAUUUGGGAACGUCUAAUCUGUGAAUAUAUCGUUCCAACACCAGAGAGUUCAAGCUCCUCGAAGACACAUCCCAGCCACGUGGUCAAUCUGCUGAGACGGCGUUUAUUGUUAAAAAAUAGGUACACCUUGAUCGUGUACACUGUUCUACAAGAUGAAUUGGAUAUCUGCAUAUUUUGGAAGAGCCUAUAAUACGGACGGGCCGAAGAAGAGGCUCCUGUCUUCAAAGUUGAGUGGUUGCUCUCAACCAGAAUGUAUAACCACGUGCCAAAAGCAUUUGAGGAAGAAACGUCCAGAGAGACUCGUCCAUGGACGCGACAAUGCUGGUUCUGGUACUGUGCCAUAAUGAGAAGAAACGUCCAGAGAGACUCAACCAAGGACGCGACAAUGCUGUUUCUGGUACUGUGCCAUAAUGAAAAGAAACGUCCAGAGAGACUCGUCCAUGGACGCGACAAUGCUGGUUCUGGUACUGUGCCAUAAUGAGAAGAAACGUCCAGAGAGACUCGUCCAUGGACGCGACAAUGCUGGUUCUGGUACUGUGCCAUAAUGAGUAAGUACUGGGGCUGUUUUGGGCUCUCUUGCACCAGAUUCAUGUUGUAGCCAUCGAUGAUGGCAAACCCCUUGUAUUGUUGUGGGGGAAAGGCUGGUGUUGCUAAAGGGUUUUCAUAUUAAGACCACAUUUACACAUAGCCGGGUAUUUACAGAAACGAAUAUUUCUGCCCCUCCAUUUUCAAAAAUAACGUCGUACACACAAGAUCGUUU